rnacentral:lncRNA from 1 species
AUUUCUUGGGCUGCUCCCAUGGCAUAUGGAGGUUCCCAGGCUAGGGGUCGAAUCGGAGCUGUAGCCACCAGCCUAGGUCAGAGCCACAGCAACGCGGGAUCCAAGCCGCGUCUGCAACCUACACCACAGCUCACGGCAACGCCGGAUCGUUAACCCAUCGAGCAAGGGCAGGGACCGAACCGCAACCUCAUGGUUCCUAGUCGGAUUCAUUAACCACUGGCGCCACGACGGGAACACCAGGAUUUUAGUAACUGAAAAUACAUAAUUAUCCAUGAAUUCAAGACUUUAGGGUUUUCAAAAUAUCCACACUAACUAGUUCAUAAUUUUACAUGUUAAGAUCAGGCUAGAAGAAUGUUUUUAGGAAAGAGAAAAUCAGAAUUCUUUCAAACAGAAAUUUCCAUGAAAAUCUAAUAAAAAUGAGAAGUGAAAUUCAUUAUCUUUAAAAAAAAUUCUUACCUAUUUUCCCUGAAUAGAUCCUUUAUACAGGUGAAUACAAUUUUCAAUAGUGAUACUGCUUUCUUGGGGUUACAAUUGUUUAUACAUAAUUCGUUCUGCAGGUAAAUAAAAAUGCAUACCCCAAAGCAGUAAAAAUAAAAUAAAGCAACAGUAAAUGAAAAGUCUACCAAGGGUUUCUUUGGUAAACAUUUAUCUUAACAUUUAAGCUUCAGACUCCUGAGAUGGCUCUUGGGAUAAAGUGACAGACUCAGGUUUGAUUCCUUCUGGUAUUUCAAAUAAUACUCCACAAGCUCAGGACCAUUUUUUGAGUAUAAAUGACAGGCUAGGAACAUUAAUGUCCUGAGGCUGUGCCUGGGGCAUAUAAUCUCACCUAAUCAUUAUUCACAAUCACCCAGAAAAGCCUCAAGCUAAAAUUCUGAAUGCUAUUUAGAACUAAACUUGCAAAUUCAUUUAAAAAAUUCCUUCUUCUUUCAUGAUUUUAUUUUUUGUUUAAUUCAUAUGCAUCUUUAGACAAGAACUGCAGCCAGCAUUAAAACCUAGAGCAAGAGUCAAUCUGUUCUGUGUGUUGCUUUCUUUAUUAAUUCAUAAAAAAGACAAGCCAUCUUUUAUUUGAAAAAUCACAAUAACUUUUAUAAAUGUAAAAAUAAACUGAGGGAUGCAAUAUUCCCUGAAAAUUAGGGAAUAAUCUACAGUCAAAUCAUGCCACAAAUUUCUUUAAUUAGAUCCCCCCCUUUUUUUACUUAGGAUGUAAAAAAUAUUAUUUCUUGCCAUCUAUCUUGCCAAAACUUUCCACUCCUGCUUUAAUUUCUAGGACUGACUAUUGCAAUCCUCUCUGUUCUCCCACUAACUGUCUGCUUUAGUUGAUAGAGAAAUAUAAUUUCUUACUGAUUAUAACACUUAAGAGUCGCCUUUUAAAAACAGCAUUAAGAGUGAGGGCUUUUGUCUCAGACUGCCUGGCUUAGGGUCAGAUUCCUUACCUCUAUAAAAGGGGAUGGUGAUAGUUCUUAUCUCAAAGCACUUGGUAAGGAUUACAUGAGACAAAUGAUUCCAAGUACUUAGGAGAUUGUCACCUACAUAGUAAGCACUCGAUAAUUGUUUUUGCUGUUAAAAAUCAUAACUUUUUAGAACCUUUUACUUACUUCUUAAAUGUCUAAGAAAACUGGAAAAAAAAUUUGUGUGACUUUGGACAAACUUGAGUUCAACUCUCUGCUCUUUUGUUUUCUCAUUCAUAAAAUGAAAUAAUCUGGCAACAUUAACCCAAAGACUGUUAACUAUAGAAAUGUACAUGAUUUUACCUAGCUAUGAAUAAGGUUUGGAUUGAUUUUACUUCUCUGCUUUUAUUUUAUUUUAUUUUUUUUGUCUUUUUCUUUUUUUUUUUUUUAAGGCCGCACCCGUGGCAUAUGGAGGUUCCCAGGCUAGGGGUCUAAUCAGAGCUGUAGCCGCCGGCCUACACCAGAGCCACAGCAACACUGGAUCCGAGCCGCAUCUGAGACCCACACCACAGCUCAUGGCAACGCCGAUCCUUAACCCACUGCGCAAGGCCAGGGAUCAAACCCACAACCUCAUGGUUCCUAGUUGGAUUCAUUAACCACUGCGCCACCAAGGGAACUCCUUACUUCUCUGCUUUUAACAUGUAUUGACAUCCUAUUUCCAGUAACUCUGGUUUGUAUCCUUCUUUUUUGAAUAAGAACUAUAUCUAGUGAUAUUC